rnacentral:rRNA from 1 species
AUUGAACGCUGGCGGCAGGCCUAACACAUGCAAGUCGAGCGGAUGAAGGGAGCUUGCUCCUGGAUUCAGCGGCGGACGGGUGAGUAAUGCCUAGGAAUCUGCCUGGUAGUGGGGGAUAACGUCCGGAAACGGGCGCUAGUACCGCAUACGUCCUGAGGGAGAAAGUGGGGGAUCUUCGGACCUCACGCUAUCAGAUGAGCCUAGGUCGGAUUAGCUAGUUGGUGGGGUAAAGGCCUACCAAGGCGACGAUCCGUAACUGGUCUGAGAGGAUGAUCAGUCACACUGGAACUGAGACACGGUCCAGACUCCUACGGGAGGCAGCAGUGGGGAAUAUUGGACAAUAGGCGAAAGCCUGAUCCAGCCAUGCCGCGUGUGUGAAGAAGGUCUUCGGAUUGUAAAGCACUUUAAGUUGGGAGGAAGGGCAGUAAGUUAAUACCUUGCUGUUUUGACGUUACCAACAGAAUAAGCACCGGCUAACUUCGUG